ensembl:misc_RNA Metazoa_SRP Metazoan signal recognition particle RNA
GCUGGGUGUGGUAGCGGGCGCCUGUAGUUCCAGCUACUCAGGAGGCUGAGGCAGGAGACUCACUUGACCCCGGGACUGUGGAGUUGCAGUGAGCCAAGAUGGCGCCACUGCACUCCAGCCUGAGCUACAGAGUGAGACUCUGCCUCAU